rnacentral:rRNA from 1 species
CGCCGGACCUGACUGCUAUCGGAUUGAUACUAAGUCAUGCGAGUCAUUGUAGCAAUACAAGGCAUACGGCUCAGUAACGCGUAGUCAACCUAACGUAUGGACGGGAAUAACCUCGGGAAACUGAGAAUAAUGCCCGAUAGAACAUUAUGCCUGGAAUGGUUUAUGUUCCAAAUGAUUUAUCGCCGUAGGAUGGGACUGCGGCCUAUCAGUUUGUUGGUGAGGUAAUGGCCCACCAAGACUAUUACAGGUACGGGCUCUGAGAGGAGUAGCCCGGAGAUGGGUACUGAGACACGGACCCAGGCCCUAUGGGGCGCAGCAGGCGAGAAAACUUUGCAAUGUGCGAAAGCACGACAAGGUUAAUCCGAGUGGUUUCUGCUAAAGAAACCUUUUGUCAGUCCUAGAAACACUGAUGAAUAAGGGGUGGGCAAGUUCUGGUGUCAGCC